AGGUCCCUGGUUUCAAGUGGUGAAUAGAUUUUGGAGUGAAAAUACUGUCUAGCACCAUUUGAAAUCAGUGCAUCU
rfam:Crassostrea gigas strain 05x7-T-G4-1.051#20 contig13606, whole genome shotgun sequence.